CUACACUUUUGAGUGUGAGAUUUCUUUUUUGAACCUAUUGACUCUCUCAUGGUUUUGCCUUCUUAUUAUUUAAAAACUUUAAUUGUGUAUUCUUCAGUGAAAAUUGUCAACACGUGAGAGUCCUGUGCUUGACCUAGGUUGUAGAGGCAGCAAUUUUUUACCCAAGUUUAUUUCUGUCAUAUUCCUACGGGUUUAAUUGGUUCUGGUUAUUCCUUUGUUUGCUUCUUGACACAGGUUUCUUUACCUUAGGAGUAAGUGUGAGUUUGGGUUCCACACUUUUUGUACAGGGUGGAUAUUCUUUUUCAUCUCAUGGCCCAGAGCAUGUGGCCUGUAUCUGUGUUACAUUUCCAUGCCAGAGGGCAGAUUUUGUUUUUCUAUUUCACUAACUCUAGCUCUCUUUUCAUGGAAGAGACAACUCCUUUGUUUUUUUUUUUUUUAAAGAUUUUAUUUUUUCCUUUUUCUCCCCAAAGCCCCCCAGUACAUAGUUGUAUAUUUCUCGUUGUGGGUUCUUCUAGUUGUGGUAUGUGGGACGCCGCCUCAGCGUGGUCUGACGAGCAGUGCCAUGUCCGCGCCCAGGAUUCGAACCAACGAAACACUGGGACGCCUGCAGCGGAGCGCGCGAACUUAACCACUCGGCCACGGGGCCAGCCCCGAGACAACUCCUUUCUGGUUCCUGGAUUUGUGGAUAAACUCUGGCUUCUAAGUUCUCGCUUCUUCCCUUGUACAAGCCACAAGAAUUCUGGUGAGUUCCAGGUGAUUAGGAAGAGACCACAGAAAACACGUGUAUGUGUGUGCAAACACACGCAAACACAUAUAGUAUGAGUAAAUGAAGUUUCCGGCUUAACUAGGUAAAGAUGUAAAUUCGUAUUGGAAGUACUAAGUUCACAUAGAGCAGGAAUUCAUGGGACAAAUCUCAUUUGAGCUUCCCUUGAUUUACAGAGCAAAGACAGUGACUUGUACCUGCCAGAUCUGAGGUGCUCAGUUCUCAUCACUUUAUGCUCACCAUUUGGAGUGCUUUAUACCAACACACUAGGUAUGUCUAUUUCAGGGAGAGUUUAAAAACACUGGAUUUUCCUUGUUUUUGCACCAAGCUCAGUGUUAGCAAGGCCACAUGCUCACUUGAGGAGAUAUAAGAAUCUGCACACAGAUGUUUUGAAUAAUUUCUCAGCCUUCAGCUUGCUGCUGUCCUGGACAGCCUGUUUCUCCACAGGUCACCUUUUAUUCUGAUUUUAUUCUGAUUUAUCUGGAUAACUCUGAUAAUUAAUCUGAUCUAAAUCCAUUAUUCUAAAGUAGAAUUCAAACGGCAAGCAUUUAUUGAGCAUUGACUAUCUCCCAGCCAGAAUGUAGCUGCUGCGGAAGUAGUGGACUCAGACAUCGUCCUUGUCUCAGGUGGAGUUCACGGCCUGGUGAGUUUGCAUGAUUUUGUUUUUCUCCCUUCUGUUUAUUAUCAUUAUUGCUGUUGUUUGUCUUAUACAUAUAGUUACCAUGAUAUCUGCUUUGAUUAAAAAAUUGUCUAGAUAAAGGCUCAUAUAAUACCCACUAUUCUGCAAUGGUCAGAUCAUGCUCAACUCAUGUUGCUCGGUUUGGGGUAUUAUACUUUAAGAGAGACAUAGAGCACCAUUUAUUCAGAAAUGACCAGGAUGUUGGGGAGAUGUGAAACCAUGCAGUGUGAAAAUGUGGUGAAAUGAUUGGAGAAAUAGAAUUUCUCAUAAUAAAGUUGGGAAGACUGGUAUUCACCAAUCCCUUCAUCCCUUUUUCACGUAACAUGAUGACAUUCACAGUAAGAGUCUGUCAUCUUCUAUUUCUGUCAAUGUGAAUGUCAUAUUAACUAUUUAACCAGAGCCCAGCACAUGGCUUUAGUACGUGGACUAGACUGUCACAGGCUCCCAAUGGCUAACAGGAGGGAUAAGGCCCUCCACUCUUUAUUACUCAUCUAAUACCAAUGCCAAUGGCUGGCUCAAGUCUUGUUUACAUAAAAGGAUGCGAAAGCUACCAUUGUAUACUAAAGAAGGCCCUUCACAUUUGUUUCUGGUCAAAUCCAAAUGCGAAUGGUCUUUAAUUUAUUUAUUUACCAAAGAAUAAAUUAUAGCUUUUCACACUGAGAGUAAACUCUUUCCAUCUGUCUCUUCCCAAAAUCGUGUUGUGCCACGCAUGAGGCUUGGUGAGCCACAGAGAGAGUCACGUUUCUUUCUACUAACUGAAACAAGCUUGGAGAAAGUUAGCCCUCAGAACGUUAAAUAUUUGUUAUGGGUUCUACGAAUGGAAAAUAUGAACAUGAAAUUAGUUUUUCUUUUUCUUGCAAAUACGAUCUAUCCAUAAAAUGGUAGGACACCAACACAAAAAUGAUUUUCCUGCAUGAUAAAUUCAUUGCUCUCUACAUCAAUUUGGGGGAAGAGGGGAUAGAAAAAUUGGAACUCUGGCUUGCUAUCAAAUUUAAAUCGUUACCAGACAAGAGCAUGCUAAAGCCCAAAUACUGUGGUUUGGAAGUAUCUGAAUCUACUCCAAAUUGCCGUUGGACAACAUCACACAGGUUUAAAUUCAUUGAGCUUAUAUAAGAAAUUACUCUUUGCUUGUACUGGUUCCAUCUGUUCUAAACUGCAGUGAACAUGUCCCACUUGUGUCUGCAGCCCCAGGAAAGGUGGCCCAAGGUGCACACGGGGCCAUGUGCUAGUAAAGGGUUACUUUCCAGCUCUAGUUUUAGAUUUAACCCCUUUCUUAGAGAAUUGAAGAGAGAAGCAGAGUGGAAAGGAAAGAAUGCUUUAUUCCUCAAAGAAAAUUGUAUUCAUAUUCUUUCCUCCCAUUUUCCCCUGAAGUCUUUAAACUUGCACAGACCAUUUUAUUCUCUAGUUUAAGGUUAACUUCAAAACAUCUCCGGACACAUCUUGCUUUGUGUCCUCUUGGGUAUGUUAUUUCGAUAAGCUCAUGUUUAUCUCAGUUCUAGGGAAGGAGAUGAAGAGAUGGUUUUGCACACGAACUGUGAUAUGUAAAGUAUGACACUCCAGCACUUUUUGGAAUCAUCUCUUUCAAUGAAAACUAUUCAAUUUCAUCCUUUCACUUUUUACUGCCCUUUCUCCUCUUCCCAUCAGCACCUUCCAAGAGAAAUUUGCACAGUUGACAUAUUGCAGAAAUACACAUUUUUAAUCUGAUACAUUCAGAAGUCCUUGGUUUGCAAAUAGUACCUGGCAUGUAUUGAGCACUUAGGCCACAAUAGAACAUAAUUGACAUAUUGGAAACUUUUUUAAAGAAUGUGCAUUCUCCCUCAUAAUGGUUGUCUUUGAUUUUGCAAAUGCACCUUUAUAUUACCGUAAACUAGGAG
ensembl:lncRNA